rnacentral:lncRNA from 1 species
GGUUAGCCCUGGCCCGUGUGAUGCAGGAAUGAAUGUGACUUAUCCACCUGAGGAGCCUACACACAUCCUUAUAAUCCAACAGAUCAUCUGCUUCUUGCUUUCCAAUAACUUGAUAUGUUCUUUUGAGAAAGAUUCAUUCAAUAUACUGCCUUGAUCAAGCUAUACCAUGACCAGCUCACUCUCCCAGCAUCUAGAAUUUCUCUGUCAUGUAAUUUUCAAAUGUUAAUUUUUUCUUCUUUCCAGGACCAGUAGCCAUCCUGUGAUAUUAACAUUACAGGUCUUUAUGAACUACUUGAGUGACUCCAGAUUUACAGAUUUACAGAGAUAACUAGAGGAUAAUGUUGUAGCUGUGGUAAAUGAAGCCAUCAAUGGAGAAUAGCUGAUUCUUAUUGGGAGGGAGAGGAGUGGAGAGAACAUCUACACCAAAAAGAUGACAUUUGAACACAAAUAUGAGUAGGUAGCAGGAGAAAAUGGAAAAAGAUGUUGAAGAAUUUGUUGUUAAGUGGAAGGGAUAUGAGUACACAAAAAAAUACAAGUAUCCUUGGCCUUUCUUCCAAUCCAAAAUUAUAAAUGGAAUAUAGUUAUUUGCAUUCAUUAAUGCCUUUUCCUCUUUCUGGAGGUUAAUUGUUUAUCUUUACAGAAAACCAUUUAAAAGCCAUUUAUUCACUAGAAUUUAAAAAUCUGUAAGGGAAAGAUAAACACAUAGGACGAAUGUUAUCUCAGACAAUUCAGAACCAUUGAAAUCACUGUCUGGAAGACUCGUCAUGGACAGAUCCUUCUGUUCUUCUCUUUUUCUUCCUUCUCUGCCAGCACAGCUUCCUCCAUCAUUCAGUGCACAUGCUGAAGAUGGUGGGGUUGGUCUCCCUGUUAGCGGGCUGGACAGUGGUUAAGAUUGGCAAUGGCUUCUAGUGGAGACCUGGCCUGUGACUUGGAAUUCCCCUGCACAAGAGGUCCUCGUGGGAUGACCUCAUGCACAUUCCGUGUAGUGAUGUGUUUCGAGUAUGCGAGUGUGAACUUUCUUUAGGUACAGGAAGCAAAGGAAGGAAAGUGAAUUUAAGAAAACAAUGGCAAUCUUUUUUUAAAAAGGGUCAGAUUUUAAACAAACGUAUGCCACCGUGUUCCAUAUUUUUACUUAUUUGGAAAGAGGGCUAUCCAGUGGUCUUGGCUGACUCCCUUACAGGGAGUGGGGGGCCUGUCUUGAGCCUUUUCUGUGAAGCUUUGUGUUGAAGUUUAAUGAAAUGAGCCCCUUGGAGCUCGCAGGCUGACAUGCCACUUGAGGCCAGAGAAAACGCUCUGCUUUUAAAGGGCUUGUGUGAUUCAGAGAGUCCUACUCUGAUUCUCUCAUUAACCUCAUUGACCACAUCAUUUAAUCCUCACUGGAGGAUUUUCUUUCACAUAUGAGAAAACAAGCUCUGAGAGUCAUACUUACCUAAGCCCCCAGUAUUAGUAAAAGGGGGGCAGAAGCUUACGUGGGUUCAUUUGACGCCAAAUGCCAUGAGAGAGUGAGAGCAGAGGAGAAAAGAAUGCUGUUGGGGAAAAGGACCAGUACUGGCUUGGGGUCACAGCCUGAGAUUGUCCCUGUCAUGGUACUUGGACUUGUUUGACCAACAGUUGAUCCCAAUAAGGGGAUUUGGGUAUAAAAAGAGAGUAAUAGAAGUCAUAUGGUAAAAGUGUUAGGGCUUGGAGAUGUAAUGAAUCAAUACAAGAAGAAAAUAGUCUGGUUGGGAGAAGAGAAAUAGCUUCCCCAACAUCCAAACUCAACAAAAUUGCUUUUGAUUCAGGCUUCUACUCUUUAGUCCAAAUACUACAUCAUGUCAGAAUGUAUGGUAAUCUAAUAAUCUUCAAAACCCUCAGGGAGAUGGACCAUCAUUUGUUCCCUCACCUUCUGCCCUUAGAAAAUACAGUCUUUUGGAAAAUUAUCUUUGGCUCCUUGGAUUUCAGCACCAAGGGAAUGGCAUCCUUGGCAUGGUUCAGAAAGGACAUAAGCUCUUCUUAGCCCUGCUCAGCCCCAGCUCCAGGCAGCCACCUCUUAGCCUCAAGUUUUUAAUCUUGGUGGGGUAAGCUGGACCCUUAACCCUCUUUACAAAUCACAACAGGGAUGUGAACAGGGAGGCGGUCCCCUGUACAAUGGAAAUAAUGUUCUUGGCUGCUGCCUCCUUUUCUUUCUAUUUUAGUCCCAAGGGACAUGGCUUUUUUACUUCUAGAGAUUUAGGAGUCUUGAGGUUUUUUUGCAAAAAGAAGAAUUCUGUGUGGUUUUAGAAGGCAAGUCACUUUGAGUAAUUUAAACCCUCAUUUAUCCAAACACAAAGGCUGAAAGACCUCUUAGCAAACUGGCCCCAUGUGAUAAAGCUUUUGGCAAAGAUCUUAUAUCUGUCCUGUGCACUGCCCAUAUU